CUACCAAGAUCUGUUUUGUAUUUGAAUUGUGUCUCCUUAUCACUUUCCAUUUGACAGAAAUCAGCAGAGCACGGGGCCGGUGAGGGUACAGUGGAGACCCAAGUGGAACACAGACCACUGGAAGAAGACCAGCUAACUGCAGGACCAAAAAAAAAUCUGCUUGGCGCCACAAAAUGCAAGAGAACUCUUUCCCCUUUCUGACUACAAAGCUCGCUACUUAAUUGUACAAAUAUUUGUGGGUUUGGCGAAGGCUCCUGGUUUGACAAUGUGUGACAACAUUCAAGUUUCCAAAUGGGUGGGGAUUGAAGAAAUGAGUCUCAAUAAACAAUUUGGGGCAGGCAAAC
rnacentral:lncRNA from 1 species